rnacentral:lncRNA from 1 species
CUCUUCAAAUCAACUUCACCAAUACACUCAAGAGCACCAAAGGAAGGAAUUUCAUGGAGUAGAUUCUAGUUUAAGGACUUGAGUUGGGUGAUUUGAGCUUGUUGGAAGCUUAAACUUGGAAGAGUUUUUCUUUCUUCUUUGAUGAGAGGUUCGGCCAACACAAGGGAAGAAAAUGGUGAAUUUUGUGAAUUUUUGGAGAUAUUUAACCAAUUUUGGUCAAAGGUCAAAUAGUGAAUAGUAACUCUUAAAGUC